GCUCUCUCUCCCUGGUAUCUCAACACUGCGUCGGUGCAGUUUGCAGAAAGUUGGAAAGGAAAUCCAGGAGACUCCAUUUACACUUCACCUGUUUUCCCCAGGGGUUACUUCUACAUCUACAUAAUCAUAGAACAAUACCAAACCCAAGAGGAUGACACUGGGGGUAGCCUGUGUUAACAAGAAAUGAUCAUCCACAAGCAGACCCACGUUUAUCAAAAUGUGGUUGUGGCCCAUGUGGG